UCCCAGUUGGCUCAGCGGUAAAGAACCUGCUUGUCAAACAGGAGGCACAGGUUUGAUCCCUGGGUAGGGAA
rnacentral:tRNA from 1 species